UACGUAGGUGACCAGCGUUGUCCGGAUUUACUGGGCGUAAAGAGCGCGCAGGCGGUCGUUCAAGUCGAGUGUGAAAGCCCCCGGCUCAACUGGGGAGGGUCACUCGAUACUGAUCGACUUGAAGGCAGGAGAGGGAAGCGGAAUUCCCGGUGUAGUGGUGAAAUGCGUAGAUAUCGGGAGGAACACCAGUGGCGAAGGCGGCUUCCUGGCCUGUUCUUGACGCUGAGGCGCGAAAGCUAGGGGAGCAAACGGGGAU
rnacentral:rRNA from 1 species